GUCUCUGUGGCGCAAUUGGUUAGCGCGUUCGGCUGUUAACCGAAAGGUUGCUAGUUCAAGCCCAGCCAGGGACG
rfam:Ciona savignyi cont_32410, whole genome shotgun sequence.